CACAUGCAGGAGCAUUGAACGGUGCCGGUGGUAAGAAAUGAAAUAGAUUCAAUGUGCAACUGUGAUGGAAACGAGCAAACCACGACGUGUCAAUAAGUAAAAAGAAGUAACCGAGUCUCUUUCCGUCUGUGUCAGAUAGCAAACGUGGGAGUGGGAGGCCUUAUAUUCAUUCUUUUCAAUUCGUUCAUUUUUCGAAACCCUAACGAGAUGAACCCCUACGACAAUAGAUAUUCCGACGCCGCUUCUUUUCGCGGCCGUCGCAGUGAUUUCGUUGGACCUAUUCCGCCUCCGUCUUUCGUCGGCCGCGGCGGCGCAGUUCCCUACGGCGUCCCCGGACCCAACGGGUUCGGAUCCGCACCCGUUGCUCCGGUACCACCCUUUGUGCCUCCUUCCGGAGGCUUCAACGUAGGUCGAGGCGGUGGCAGAGCGGGCAAUGGUCCCGUGAGUGAUAGAAAACACGACAUGGGUCGUGGCCGUGGUGGCGGCGGCGGUGGUAGAGCCGGAGCUCACGGUUUUAGGGGCUCCGCGAGAGGAGGAGGUAGACACGGUGGUGGUUCUUCUAGGGAUGAUUUGAACAACAUUGCACUCCCGAAGCAGGAUUUUAAGAAUUUGGUCCCUUUUGAGAAGAACUUCUAUGUUGAGUGCCCUGCCGUGAGGGCCAUGUCUGAGCAAGAAGUUUUGCAUUACCGUGCCAGUAGAGAGAUCACCGUGCAAGGCAACGAUGUGCCAAAGCCUAUUAUGAUGUUUCACGAGGCGAAUUUUCCUGAUUACUGCCUUGAGGUUAUUGCCAAUCUGCGUUUUGCUGAUCCCACUCCAAUUCAAGCUCAGGGUUGGCCCAUGGCUCUGAAGGGUAGAGAUUUAAUUGGCAUUGCCGAGACUGGCUCGGGUAAAACUUUGGCGUAUUUGCUUCCUGCUUUAGUGCACGUCAAUGCACAACCUCGAUUGGCACAUGGGGAUGGUCCCAUUGUCUUAGUUUUAGCACCAACUAGAGAGUUGGCUGUUCAAAUUCAGGAAGAGGCUCUUAAAUUUGGGUCUCGGGCAAAUAAAAGAAGUACGUGCAUCUAUGGUGGUGCACCAAAGGGUCCCCAAAUUCGGGAGCUUAAAAGAGGCGUCGAAAUAGUUAUUGCUACACCUGGUCGUCUAAUAGAUAUGUUGGAAGCUCAGCACACGAACCUGCGGAGAGUGACUUACCUUGUCUUAGAUGAAGCUGAUCGAAUGCUAGACAUGGGUUUUGAACCUCAGAUACGGAAAAUUGUAGCCCAGAUUCGACCAGAUAGGCAAACAUUAUUAUGGAGUGCUACAUGGCCAAGGGAUGUUGAAACUCUGGCAAGGCAGUUUCUGCACAACCCAUACAAGGUAAUUAUUGGGUCACCAUACCUGAAGGCAAAUCAAUCUAUAAAUCAAAUUGUUGAAGUUGUAACAGACAUGGAGAAAUACAAUAGAUUAAUCAGACUGCUGAAAGAAGUGAUGGAUGGUAGCCGAAUUUUAAUAUUUAUGGAGACAAAAAAGGGAUGUGAUCAAGUUACGAGACAAAUGAGAGUGGAUGGAUGGCCAGCACUAUCCAUCCAUGGUGAUAAAAACCAGGCUGAAAGGGAUUGGGUCUUGGCUGAAUUUAAGAGUGGCAGAAGUCCAAUAAUGACUGCCACUGAUGUUGCUGCACGGGGUCUUGGUAGGAUCACUGUGUUUAGAAGCUUAGGAUUUUUGGUCUAGGUCUAAAACUUUAACAAUAGGGCGAGUCGGCCGGCUGCUGUCCAGUUUCCCUUGAUAUAAUUUGUGGUUUGGGUGUGUACAGGGCCAUAUUGUCAGUGUGUUGGAACUGCCUGUAACUUGACCAAGGGUUUAAUGACUUGCAUACUGAGAUGAAACUGUUUUGCUGCAGUUGGUAGACUAUCUGCUCCUGUUAAUUUGGGAACUAUAUUUUUUAGAGGUGUCAAGUUAUAUGGAUGCCUGGGUCAGAGUUCCUUUGAUAUGUGGCUUGGAUGUUGAUCUAUAACUUCUGAGGUAGCAUAUCAUGUGUGAUCCUGUAAAUUUCAUAGGAUGGGUUAAUGCUUGGCGUUUUGCAUGAUUGGCAUAACAAGGUUAGUCAUCAAUAAUUUGUCAGUGUUGCCUGAAGAGAUAUAAGUCAAAUUGAUUGAUCCCCCAUCCACAGUUAUAGAGCUGGUUGUCUUUGCAGCCCGGUUGACUCAUACAUGCUUAGUCAAUAAUUGCAUGUGGUAGAUGGCAUGAUGGUGAAGCUGCUCCUUAUCCCUGGAAGGUUAAGAUGUGAAAGACAUAAAAUGUGUGAUCAAUUAUGAUUUUCCAACAAGCCUGGAAGAUUAUGUCCACAGAAUUGGUCGAACUGGUCGUGCAGGGGCUAAAGGAACUGCAUACACCUUUUUUACACAUGCCAAUGCUAAGUUUGCUAGGGAUCUGAUUAAGAUUUUACAAGAUGCUGGUCAGACUGUGAGUCCUGCGUUGACUGCAUUGGUUCGGUCAGCUGGUUCUGGUCAAUUUGGAUCAGGGGGAGGUUUUCGCUCAAGAGGACGAGGAGGCUAUGGAAAUCGUGGUUUAACGUCAGGUUCCAAUGCCAUUCCUCUAGGUUCGAAGCGGCCCUGGCAUUGUCUAUAGUUUUGGUGCUGCUUUGGGCAAAUUCUUAGUUUUACAAAUGUUGGGGUGUUGAUUUUGAACAUGCAUCUAUUUGACCACAAUUACACUUGAAACAGCACAUUGUUAGAUUUUAGGACAAAAAUUGAUCUUAUUUUUUCAACGACUGAAGUCUGGAAAGCAUGUGUUAUGUCAUACAUGUAUCUUAUUUUUUUUCAUAGACUUGAUAAGAACAGUAGCUUGAUAAUAGAUGAUCAAAUGCUUUCUUACAGUCUUUAUCCUUCAUUUGACAAGGGAAGAAGAAUGAAAAUAGAAGAAAAGAAGAUGGAAUGAAGAAAAAAUAAACAGAAACUCUCAAAUUCUUCAUUGUCAUUUUGCUUGAAUCAUCGAUGUUAUUGUUAACUUGUACCA